CGGGGAGCUGGCAAACAAGCUUCGAUCCGUGGAUUUCUGAAUGGGGAAACCCGGCCAUUUAUGGUCACUCAUACCCGAAUGCAUACGGUAUGAGAGCGAACCUGGUGAAGUGAAACAUCUAAGUAACCAGAGGAAAAGAAAACAACCGUGAUUCCGUAAGUAGCGGCGAGCGAAAGCGGACAAACUCAUAGUGUCGUGAACCACUUGAAAGGUGGACCGCAGAAGGUGAUAGUCCUGUAGCGGCAUAGUGAGGUAGCCCUAGAGUAGGGU
rnacentral:rRNA from 16 species